GACGAACCGUGCGAACGUUGUUCGGAUUCACUGGGCUUAAAGGGCGCGUAGGCGGGCGGUCAAGUCCGGGGUGAAAUCUUUCGGCUCAACCGGAAAAGGGCCUCGGAUACUGACUGUCUUGAGGAAGGUAGGGGCAUGCGGAACUUCCGGUGGAGCGGUGAAAUGCGUUGAUAUCGGAAGGAACGCCGGUGGCGAAAGCGGCGUGCUGGACCUUUACUGACGGCUGAGGCGCGAAAGCCAGGGGAGCGGAACGGG
rnacentral:rRNA from 1 species